rnacentral:rRNA from 1 species
AUUGAACGCUGGCGGCAUGCUUUACACAUGCAAGUCGAACGGCAGCAUGGGUGCUUGCACCUGAUGGCGAGUGGCGAACGGGUGAGUAAUGUAUCGGAACGUAUCCGGACAUGGGGGAUAACGUAGCGAAAGUUACGCUAAUACCGCAUAUGCCCUGAGGGGGAAAGGUGGGGAUCGCAAGACCUAUCGUUUUCGGAGCGGCCGAUAUCAGAUUAGCUGUUUGGUGAGGUAAAGGCUCACCAAGGCGACGAUCUGUAGCUGGUCUGAGAGGACGACCAGCCACACUGGGACUGAGACACGGCCCAGACUCCUACGGGAGGCAGCAGUGGGGAAUUUUGGACAAUGGGGGCAACCCUGAUCUAGUCAUGCCGCGUGAGUGAAGAAGGCCUUCGGGUUGUAAAGCUCUUUCGGACAGAAAGAAAUCGCACUUACUAAUACUAGGUGUGGAUGACGGUACUGUAAGAAGAAGCACCGGCUAACUACGUGCCAGCAGCCGCGGUAA